rnacentral:tRNA from 1 species
GGCCCGUUAGCUCAGUUGGUUAGAGCGUGGUGCUAAUAACGCCAAGGUCGUGGGUUCGAUCCCCAAACGGGCCA